rnacentral:rRNA from 1 species
GUCGUACGGGAGUUUUUAACUCUAGUGGCGGACGGGUGAGUAACACGUAAGAAUUUGCCUUUAGGAGGGGGACAACAGCUGGAAACGGCUGCUAAUACCCCAUAUGCUUUCGAGUGAAAUGGAUUUCCGCCUAAAGAGAAGCUUGCGGCUGAUUAGCUUGUUGGUGAGGUAAUGGCUCACCAAGGCGACGAUCAGUAUCUGGUUUGAGAGGACGAUCAGACACACUGGAACUGAGACACGGUCCAGACUCCUACGGGAGGCAGCAGUGGGGAAUUUUCCGCAAUGGGCGCAAGCCUGACGGAGCAAUACCGCGUGAGGGAUGAAGGCCUAUGGGUUGUAAACCUCUUUUUUUAGGGAGGAACAAAAUGACGUGUACCUAAAGAAUAAGCAUCGGCUAACUCCGUGCCAGCAGCCGCGGUAAGACGGGGGAUGCAAGUGUUAUCCGGAAUCACUGGGCGUAAAGCGUCUGUAGGUGGUUAAGUAAGUCAACUGUUAAAUCUUGGGGCUUAACCUCAAAAUCGCAGUCGAAACUGUUUGACUAGAGUAUAGUAGGGGUAAAGGGAAUUUCCAGUGGAGCGGUGAAAUGCGUAGAUAUUGGAAAGAACACCGAUGGCGAAGGCACUUUACUGGGCUAUUACUAACACUGAGAGACGAAAGCUAGGGUAGCAAAUGGG